CGGCCCGUAGCUCAAUGGCGGAGCGAGCGUCUUAUACACGCUAGGUUGUAGGUUCGAGUCCUACCGGGCCGACCG
rnacentral:tRNA from 1 species